rnacentral:ncRNA from 1 species
CGCUUUCGCUGGGGGUGUUGCCGCGGUUCGUGAUUACGAACGGCGGCGGCUGAGAAAGUCCCUUUGAACCUGAUUUGAGGUAAUCCUCGCGCAGGGAAGCAUGUUCCGGAAGCC